GCCAUUGAAUUGCUUUGUUUUGAAGGUUUUGUUAUUCCUUUGUCAUCAGGAAAUUAGUUGCAGUUACUGUAUGUCAAAGAAACAUACAUGUUUACAACAUCCUCGUUUGGAGAAUGUUUUUCUCACAGGCAUAACAGGAAACACCUAAGAUGCAGCUGCUGCUCAAAAUGACACAAACUACUAAAACAGAAACUUUGCAUCAACCAAGUAUUAAACUAGAAUUGCCCUUACCUGGCAACAGCCAAUCCAUGUGUGCCAAUAUUAUAUUAAGCAUACAAACCUUAAACUAACCCAACCCAUGUAACUAAGGACAUCCUGAAUGAAAUGAAAGGAGGUGAGCAGCUAGAAGCAGUUCAGAGUGGACUUCUGUCUCGCCUUUCCUUGUGAGAAAUCUUGUUCGGGAUCCUGACCGUUUUGUUGAAUAAUCUCUUGUGUUUUUAGAAAUAACCUUGACAAAUUUGGUUCUUCGAAUGCUUUGAUUCCAAGAAACUGGAUGAGUCUCCGGUCCAGAAGAGGAAAUUGUAAAAUCCAUGGCCAUGGGCAGCAGACCUCCUUGGGUAGGAAAGCAUGCUGUAAAGAAAACCCUUUUUGGGACGAGCUUCCACUCCCUGACUGGGAUCCCGACAGUUGAUGCAUUUAGAAAAUGGGACGAAGCAAACAAAGGAUGGAUGCAAGAAAAAGUCUUUCUUCUAUGAUUUCGAAAAAAAUUAAAGAGAGCCCUCUGGCAUCAAAUAUUAUCUUGGGAUUGUUUCUUCUUGUCUCUGAGAAGAUGCUGGACUCAGAAUUUCUGUGCCCUUGCCUUGAGGGAAAAUGGAAUUGUUUGUUUGUUUCUAUUUACUUUUUGUGUCCAGGAUUUACAGUCUCUGUUUUAAUGUAUUUUGUGCAUAGACAUGGCAGUUCCAUUUCCUUUCGUUUCAUCUUACGCACUUCAGUUCCUCUUCUCACAUGGGUCAUCAUACUGUUGCUUGAUGGCCGAUAUGUAGCUUGUGGCGCGACACACUGGCCUGGGAUUUAUGAAGCUACAGAUGGUAGUGGACUGCUGAGAUGGUGCAAACCAGACAACAACUCAUCUGAGAGGCUAAGCUACAUUCAAGAAGCGUACACAAUCUCUCAGAGCAUUGGACUUUUGCUCUGCAUUCCCUUUGGUCUGAGUGUGUCCUGUUGUUUGAUAAUCCCAUCAUUUAAAACAAAUCAGGAAGGGACAAAUUUGGAAUCAUGCAACCUGAAGAUGGAAUCUGCAUCAGCAGAUCAAAUCCCUUCUUAAGAGAAAACUGUUACAAAAAUGACACAUUUGUGAAUUGUUCCUCCACUUAUUCUGUAGAUUGUUAUCACGUGGUCAAAGUGAGUGACAAAAAGGUAUUGAGCCUUUUAAAACAUCAAUAAUAUGAGUUGGAGAAGGGUUACAUUUAUUGGUUAAAAAAUGCUUUUUUUAUUCCACAAUUAAUGUUUUGUAUGUAAAAUCCUUUUAAUGUCAAUAUGCUGGAUGUGAUUCAUGUUUACCUCUAACUUGUUGAUGAUGUUCAAUAAAUAAGAUCAUAACCACAUAUUUUUUUCAAUAAUUCAAUGUAAUACAAACUACUUUCUUUCAGAUGUACUUUUUUUAAAGUUUCAAUUUUUAAAGUUGAAACUUGUUCUGUUUUAUCACUUUUAUUGUUUUUGUAUUUCAUUGCUUUUACAGUACUUUUAUGGUGAUUUUAUUCUAUAUGACUGUUUUUCAUAUUUUACUGUCUUUUAUGUAUGUUUUUUGUGCUUAUAUUUGUAAAUAAAUAUCUUACCUCGUUAGAUCAUUAUGUUGGUUACGGUUCUCAUUCUUACUGGCUGUGAAGUCUUGAGGCUGAUUAACUGCAACUGGACGUGAAAAUCUUCUUCCUUUAAAAUGUUUUGAUCCUCAUCUAAAUGGCACAAAGUCAUCAUUCAGACUAUGACUCAACCUCAAGAAAAAGAUCAAUAGAGACUUCUAAUAUCACAGUCUCAGCAACCACAAUGCAGAGGUUCCAUGUGCCUUCAAAUUGUGUAUCAGCCUUUAUCAAGCUUUAGGCUACAGAUAACUCUCCGAAUGAGUAUGAUGC
rnacentral:lncRNA from 1 species